GUUAUAUGGUCAAGUGAAGAAGCGCAUACGGUGGAUGCCUUGGCAGUCAGAGGCGAUGAAAGACGUGGUAGCCUGCGAAAAGCUUCGGGGAGUCGGCAAACAGACUGUGAUCCGGAGAUGUCUGAAUGGGGGAACCCAGCCAUCAUAAGAUGGUUAUCUUGUACUGAAUACAUAGGUGCAAGAGGCGAACCAGGGGAACUGAAACAUCUAAGUACCCUGAGGAAAAGAAAUCAACCGAGAUUCCCUUAGUAGUGGCGAGCGAACGGGGACCAGCCCUUAAGUUGUAUUGAGAUUAGCGGAACACUCUGGAAAGGGUGGCCAUAGUGGGUGAUAGCCCUGUACGCGAAAAUCCCUUUGCAAUGAAAUCGAGUAGGACGGGGCACGAGAAACCUUGUCUGAAUAUGGGGGGACCAUCCUCCAAGGCUAAAUACUACUGACUGACCGAUAGUGAACCAGUACCGUGAGGGAAAGGCGAAAAGAACCGCGGAGAGCGGAGUGAAAUAGAUCCUGAAACCGUAUGCGUACAAGCAGUGGGAGCCCACUUUGUUGGGUGACUGCGUACCUUUUGUAUAAUGGGUCAGCGACUUAUUUUCAGUGGCGAGCUUAACCGAAUAGGGGAGGCGUAGCGAAAGCGAGUCUUAAUAGGGCGUCUAGUCGCUGGGAAUAGACCCGAAACCGGGCGAUCUAUCCAUGGGCAGGUUGAAGGUUGGGUAACACUAACUGGAGGACCGAACCGACUACCGUUGAAAAGUUAGCGGAUGACCUGUGGAUCGGAGUGAAAGGCUAAUCAAGCUCGGAGAUAGCUGGUUCUCCUCGAAAGCUAUUUAGGUAGCGCCUCAUGUAUCACUGUAGGGGGUAGAGCACUGUUUCGGCUAGGGGGUCAUCCCGACUUACCAAACCGAUGCAAACUCCGAAUACCUACAAGUGCCGAGCAUGGGAGACACACGGCGGGUGCUAACGUCCGUCGUGAAAAGGGAAACAACCCAGACCGUCAGCUAAGGUCCCAAAGUCAUGGUUAAGUGGGAAACGAUGUGGGAAGGCUUAGACAGCUAGGAGGUUGGCUUAGAAGCAGCCACCCUUUAAAGAAAGCGUAAUAGCUCACUAGUCGAGUCGGCCUGCGCGGAAGAUGUAACGGGGCUCAAACCAUGCACCGAAGCUACGGGUAUCAUCUUAGGAUGAUGCGGUAGAGGAGCGUUCUGUAAGCCUGUGAAGGUGAGUUGAGAAGCUUGCUGGAGGUAUCAGAAGUGCGAAUGCUGACAUGAGUAACGACAAUGGGUGUGAAAAACACCCACGCCGAAAGACCAAGGUUUCCUGCGCAACGUUAAUCGACGCAGGGUUAGUCGGUCCCUAAGGCGAGGCUGAAAAGCGUAGUCGAUGGAAAACAGGUUAAUAUUCCUGUACUUCUGGUUAUUGCGAUGGAGGGACGGAGAAGGCUAGGCCAGCCUGGCGUUGGUUGUCCAGGUUUAAGGUGGUAGGCUGAGAUCUUAGGUAAAUCCGGGAUCUUAAGGCCGAGAGCUGAUGACGAGUGUUCUUUUAGAACACGAAGUGGUUGAUGCCAUGCUUCCAAGAAAAGCUUCUAAGCUUCAGGUAACCAGGAACCGUACCCCAAACCGACACAGGUGGUUGGGUAGAGAAUACCAAGGCGCUUGAGAGAACUCGGGUGAAGGAACUAGGCAAAAUGGCACCGUAACUUCGGGAGAAGGUGCGCCGGUGGAGGUGAAGCAUUUACUGCGUAAGCCCCUGCCGGUCGAAGAUACCAGGCCGCUGCGACUGUUUAUUAAAAACACAGCACUCUGCAAACACGAAAGUGGACGUAUAGGGUGUGACGCCUGCCCGGUGCCGGAAGGUUAAUUGAUGGGGUUAGCGCAAGCGAAGCUCUUGAUCGAAGCCCCGGUAAACGGCGGCCGUAACUAUAACGGUCCUAAGGUAGCGAAAUUCCUUGUCGGGUAAGUUCCGACCUGCACGAAUGGCGUAACGAUGGCGGCGCUGUCUCCACCCGAGACUCAGUGAAAUUGAAAUCGCUGUGAAGAUGCAGUGUAUCCGCGGCUAGACGGAAAGACCCCGUGAACCUUUACUAUAGCUUUGCACUGGACUUUGAAUUUGCUUGUGUAGGAUAGGUGGGAGGCUUUGAAGCGUGGACGCCAGUCUGCGUGGAGCCAACCUUGAAAUACCACCCUGGCAACUUUGAGGUUCUAACUCAGGUCCGUUAUCCGGAUCGAGGACAGUGUAUGGUGGGUAGUUUGACUGGGGCGGUCUCCUCCUAAAGAGUAACGGAGGAGUACGAAGGUGCGCUCAGACCGGUCGGAAAUCGGUCGUAGAGUAUAAAGGCAAAAGCGCGCUUGACUGCGAGACAGACACGUCGAGCAGGUACGAAAGUAGGUCUUAGUGAUCCGGUGGUUCUGUAUGGAAGGGCCAUCGCUCAACGGAUAAAAGGUACUCCGGGGAUAACAGGCUGAUACCGCCCAAGAGUUCAUAUCGACGGCGGUGUUUGGCACCUCGAUGUCGGCUCAUCACAUCCUGGGGCUGAAGCCGGUCCCAAGGGUAUGGCUGUUCGCCAUUUAAAGUGGUACGCGAGCUGGGUUUAGAACGUCGUGAGACAGUUCGGUCCCUAUCUGCCGUGGACGUUUGAGAUUUGAGAGGGGCUGCUCCUAGUACGAGAGGACCGGAGUGGACGAACCUCUGGUGUUCCGGUUGUCACGCCAGUGGCAUUGCCGGGUAGCUAUGUUCGGAAAAGAUAACCGCUGAAAGCAUCUAAGCGGGAAACUUGCCUCAAGAUGAGAUCUCACUGGAACCUUGAGUUCCCUAAAGGGCCGUCGAAGACUACGACGUUGAUAGGUUGGGUGUGUAAGCGCUGUGAGGCGUUGAGCUAACCAAUACUAAUUGCCCGUGAGGCUUGACCAUAUAACACCCAAGCAAUU
rnacentral:rRNA from 1 species